GCCCGGCUAGCUCAAUCGGUAGAGCGUGAGACUCUUAAGAAACUCCGGUUCUCAUACAAUCUCAAGGCUGUGGGUUCGACCCCCACGUCGGGCU
rnacentral:tRNA from 1 species